ACGGUCAUAGCACAUUGAAAAACACCGGUUCUCGUCCGAUCACCGAAGUUAAGCAAUGCCGGUGAAGAAACUCUGCCUUUGCUGGUCCC